CUUUUCUUCUCUUUGCUUAUGCCAACCUGGGUUCACACUCACCUCUUUGUCCUGAUUUUUCUCAGACCGCCACAAGCAUAUGUGAAAAGCAAACGUCACUGAAGUUUGCUUGGGUUUGGUGGGCGGGGGAAGGCUCUUAAAUUUGCAGAAAUACAAACAGAUUAGAACUGAAUGUUGGACAUUCAUUCUAAUAACCUCUUAGAUCAAAGCAUCCCCUGAGGAUUUCUCACUGGUCACAUUUCUCUGCAGAUUCCAGUCUCCCACCAUGCUGCUGGUCCUCAGACUCUCUUCACAUCUCCCUGCUCCUCUGUUUUUCCAGCAUCCUCAUCUUGGUCCACAAAGUCACUCAUGUUCUCUGACAAUCAGACAGUCACCUAAUCUGGGCCCCAUCCAGGAGUCCCAUGGAAGAACUGGCGGAGGUUUUCAAUUUCAGUCUUUCCUCUCUCAUCUUCACUUGCUCCUGUGGGUGGAAGUAAGCAGCACAGGAACUUAUUCCUCACUGGUAGAAAACAUCCCCUUAGAAGACAGAAGAAACUAGCAACGGUCAAUUUUGAUUUAUAUAACAAUUUUGACAUCCUCAUAUUAUUUGUGAGUGAUAAUAUCGAAACAAAUAACUGACCAUAAAUCAUGAAACAUUUAAUAAAAUGGGAACUAAGCAGUUA
rnacentral:lncRNA from 10 species